rnacentral:rRNA from 1 species
GAUGAACGCUGGCGGCGUGCCUAAUACAUGCAAGUCGAGGGACAGCACAGGUAGCAAUACUGGGUGGUAACCGGCAAACGGGUGCGGAACACGUACACAACCUUCCUUUAAGUGGGGGUUAGCCCAGAGAAAUUUGGAUUAAUACUCCGUAAUAUAGUUGAAUGGCAUCAUUUGGUUAUUAUAGCUACGGCGCUUAAUGAUGGGUGUGCGGCUGAUUAGAUAGUUGGCGGGGUAACGGCCCACCAAGUCUACGAUCAGUAGCUGAUGUGAGAGCAUGAUCAGCCACACGGGCACUGAGACACGGGCCCGACUCCUACGGGAGGCAGCAGUAAGGAAUAUUGGUCAAUGGACGCAAGUCUGAACCAGCCAUGCCGCGUGAAGGAUUAAGGUCCUCUGGAUUGUAAACUUCUUUUAUUUGGGACGAAAAAGGGCCUUUCUAGGUCAACUGACGGUACCAGAUGAAUAAGCACCGGCUAACUCCGUGCCAGCAGCCGCAGUAA